rnacentral:tRNA from 1 species
GCGGGUGUGGGCGCCGCUAAGUCGUUGAUUUAUAAAAGUGCAGGUUGCUUUUGGUGGGCUACGAACCAAGGGGUCGUGGGUUCGAUUCCUGCCAGCCGCACCA